rnacentral:rRNA from 1 species
AACGAACGCUGGCGGCGUGGAUAAGACAUGCAAGUCGAACGGGACAACAUCUGUAGCAAUACAGGUGUUGUUUAGUGGCGAACGGGUGCGUAACACGUGGGCAAUCUGCCGAGAAGUGGGGGAUAGCUCGCCGAAAGGCGAAUUAAUACCGCAUAUGAUCAGUGAAGACAUCUUCACGACAUCAAAGCCGGGGCAACCUGGCGCUUCUUGAUGAGCCCGCGGCCUAUCAGCUAGUUGGUGAGGUAACGGCUCACCAAGGCUAUGACGGGUAGCUGGUCUGAGAGGACGACCAGUCACACUGGAACUGAGACACGGUCCAGACACCUACGGGUGCAGCAGUCGAGUAAUUUUUCNCAAGU